AAUCAACGCUGGCGGCGUGCCUAACACAUGCAAGUCGAACGCGAAAGGGGCUUCGGCCCUGAGUAGAGUGGCGAACGGGUGAGUAACACGUGGGUGACCUACCUUCGAAUGGGGGAGUAACGUCCCGAAACGGGAACGGCUAAUAACCGCAUAACAAUCCUGCCUUUGUAACAAGGUGGGAGGAUCAAAGACUGGGGAGUCGCAAGACCUGGCGUUU
rnacentral:rRNA from 1 species